rnacentral:rRNA from 1 species
CAGCAGUAGCCGCGGUAAUACGAAGGGUGCAAGCGUUACUCGGAAUUACUGGGCGUAAAGCGUGCGUAGGUGGUGGUUUAAGUCCGUUGUGAAAGCCCUGGGCUCAACCUGGGAAUUGCAGUGGAUACUGGGUCACUAGAGUGUGGUAGAGGAUAGUGGAAUUUCCGGUGUAGCAGUGAAAUGCGUAGAGAUCGGAAGGAACAUCUGUGGCGAAGGCGACUAUCUGGGCCAACACUGACACUGAGGCACGAAAGCGUGGGGAGCAAACAGGAUUAGAUACCUCAGUAGUCCCUGUCUCUUAUAC